rnacentral:lncRNA from 1 species
GCGGGGGCACCACGGAAGUGGCGGAGUAGCUAGGCUCUCAGACGAAAGAAAGGUGCCAUCCUUUUGGCAGGAUGAAGCCUCGAAGGAUGGGUAGGGGGUUUAAAUAGGCAGUGGAUCUUAACACAAUUAUGGCGGCGGGUGUCCCCAGGCCAAUGGGUGCAUGCCACUUGUCCCACUCGCAGCCAUCGAGGAUUGACUGUUCGCCAAUUUUCGU